UGCAGUCGAGCGAACAGAAGGGAGCUUGCUCCCGGAUGUUAGCGGCGGACGGGUGAGUAACACGUGGGUAACCUGCCUGUAAGACUGGGAUAACUCCGGGAAACCGGAGCUAAUACCGGAUAGUUCCUUGAACCGCAUGGUUCAAGGAUGAAAGACGGUUUCGGCUGUCACUUACAGAUGGACCCGCGGCGCAUUAGCUAGUUGGUGGGGUAAUGGCUCACCAAGGCGACGAUGCGUAGCCGACCUGAGAGGGUGAUCGGCCACACUGGGACUGAGACACGGCCCAGACUCAUACGGGAGGCAGCAGUAGGGAAUCUUCCGCAAUGGACGAAAGUCUGACGGAGCAACGCCGCGUGAGUGAUGAAGGUUUUCGGAUCGUAAAGCUCUGUUGUUAGGGAAGAACAAGUGCGAGAGUAACUGCUCGCACCUUGACGGUACCUAACCAGAAAGCCACGGCUAACUACGUGCCAGCAGCCGCGGUAAUACGUAGGUGGCAAGCGUUGUCCGGAAUUAUUGGGCGUAAAGGGCUCGCAGGCGGUUUCUUAAGUCUGAUGUGAAAGCCCCCGGCUCAACCGGGGAGGGUCAUUGGAAACUGGGAAACUUGAGUGCAGAAGAGGAGAGUGGAAUUCCACGUGUAGCGGUGAAAUGCG
rnacentral:rRNA from 1 species